rnacentral:rRNA from 1 species
AUGAACGCUGGCGGCGUGCCUAAUACAUGCAAGUCGAGCGAACGGACGAGAAGCUUGCUUCUCUGAUGUUAGCGGCGGACGGGUGAGUAACACGUGGAUAACCUACCUAUAAGACUGGGAUAACUUCGGGAAACCGGAGCUAAUACCGGAUGAUAUUUUGAACCGCAUGGUUCAAAAGUGAAAGACGGUCUUGCUGUCACUUAUAGAUGGAUCCGCGCUGCAUUAGCUAGUUGGUAAGGUAACGGCUUACCAAGGCAACGAUGCAUAGCCGACCUGAGAGGGUGAUAGGCCACACUGGAACUGAGACACGGUCCAGACUCCUACGGGAGGCAGCAGUAGGGAAUCUUCCGAAAUGGGCGAAAGCCUGACGGAGCAACGCCGCGUGAGUGAUGAAGGUCUUCGGAUCGUAAAACUCUGUUAUUAGGGAAGAACAUAUGUGUAAGUAACUGUGCACAUCUUGACGGUACCGAAUCAGAAAGCCACGGCUAACUACGUG